rnacentral:rRNA from 1 species
GACGAACGCUGGCGGCGUGCCUAAUACAUGCAAGUAGAACGCUGAAGAGAAGAGCUUGCUCUUCUUGGAUGAGUUGCGAACGGGUGAGUAACGCGUAGGUAACCUGCCUGGUAGCGGGGGAUAACUAUUGGAAACGAUAGCUAAUACCGCAUGAUAUUGAAUAUCGCAUGAUAAUUGAUUGAAAGGUGCAAUUGCAUCACUACCAGAUGGACCUGCGUUGUAUUAGCUAGUUGGUGAGGUAACGGCUCACCAAGGCGACGAUACAUAGCCGACCUGAGAGGGUGAUCGGCCACACUGGGACUGAGACACGGCCCAGACUCCUACGGGAGGCAGCAGUAGGGAAUCUUCGGCAAUGGGGGGAACCCUGACCGAGCAACGCCGCGUGAGUGAAGAAGGUUUUCGGAUCGUAAAGCUCUGUUGUAAGAGAAGAACGGGUGUGAGAGUGGAAAGUUCACACUGUGACGGUAUCUUACCAGAAAGGGACGGCUAACUACGUGCCAGCAGCCGCGGUAAUACGUAGGUCCCGAGCGUUGUCCGGAUUUAUUGGGCGUAAAGCGAGCGCAGGCGGUUAGAUAAGUCUGAAGUUAAAGGCUGUGGCUUAACCAUAGUAUGCUUUGGAAACUGUUUAACUUGAGUGCAGAAGGGGAGAGUGGAAUUCCAUGUGUAGCGGUGAAAUGCGUAGAUAUAUGGAGGAACACCGGUGGCGAAAGCGGCUCUCUGGUCUGUAACUGACGCUGAGGCUCGAAAGCGUGGGGAGNCAACAGGAUUAGAUACCCUGGUAGUCCACGCCGUAAACGAUGAGUGCUAGGUGUUAAGCCUCGGUCUGAGUUUAGUAGCGCAGUCAAUAAGAUAAUUCGCCCGCCGGGGGGGGCCGGCCGCCAGGAUAUCAAUCCAAUGAAUUGGCGGGGGGCCCCACCAGCGGAGGAAGAUGUUGUAUUAUUAGGUACCGCGAGAAGCACCCUCAGGCGUUGCCAUCACUUGUGACACUCCAGAGAAGAAGGAGUCCUUUCGGGAAGAAGCGACCAGGGGUGCAACGUUGUUGUCAACCCCUCGUCUGGAGAGGUGGGGUAAAAUCCCGCAAGGAGCGCACCCCCUUUCUUUAUUUGCCAUCAGUGAGAUGCCGCGCUCUAUAGGGACACCCCCUGAUACACCCGAGGAAGGGGGGGGGGAGGUGAAAUCAUCACACGCCCUAUGAGUCGGGGUACACACCGUGCUACAAUGGUGUGUACACAGAGUGGCAAGCCCGUGACGGCAAGCUAAUCUCUGAAAACCAGUCUCAGUUUCGAUUGUAGGCUGUAACUCGCCUACACGAAGUCGGGAUCGCUAGUAAUCGCGGAUCAGCACACCCCGGUGAAUACGUUUCCCGGCCC